AUCCCCCCACCCUAGAGCGUCCAUGUAAAAUUAGCUCCUGUAGGCUCUGCCUUUGAAGCAAUUCCUGCUAGUUCCUACACAUCGCUUCUGACCUGACCAAGGUGCCCCCACUAGGACAGGGGCAAAGCCAUCUUGCACAUACCUUUACCAAUGCGACUGAGGCCACCCUUUCUUACCUAUAUGCAAGAGGUCCAGUGCUGGGAGUCCGCAACUCCACCCCCUUCAUCUCUCUCUCAAGCCCUUCCUACUGGAAAGUACAAUCCCUUGAAAACUGCCUUGGACCUGCCUGUAAUACUGUGCAGAGCGAGAGGGUUUCUGGACCCGACGACCCCACUGACACACUACAGGUCUUGCUAUAGAUACCAGCUAAAAAAGGCCCCAAGCAAUAGUGGCCAGUGUUUUGGAAGCUGAGGGGUCAGAGCUGUAGUCCAGACACCUACAAAUAGUGCAAUACGCUCACGAGCUUCACCAAGAACAUGAAUUCCUCCUGGAGUUUCCUGCCCUGGUCCCAUGUGGGUGUAGGGGUAGGACAACCGGACCCUUUGCUGUUUGCAAUCAAAGGGACUUUUGGAUAUAGCCUUCACAGCCUCCUGUUGGCAGGCCAGCACGUGACUUUGAAAAGCCAUUGUCAAGUUCAACUGUACCUGCUUCCCUAACAGGCUCCCAGACUUGCAAAAAGGGAACAAAAAGGCAAGGUCAAUAAAGCAGUGUAAUUAGAAAUCUGGAUCAGGAAAGGUAGUUUCAGGGCCGUAAAUCAAAAUUCAGUCGCUUGGGAGAAACCUAGUGCCUGGAGGAAAGUCAUAUCAACCUAAUGAAGUGUAAAGAAUACCCACUACCCCAGAAGGAUGAUGGGAGGGAGAAAAUCCAGGUGUAGAGACAGAAAUCAAGCACAAGGAAGCAGAAGGGACCCAGUGGAGCAACCUCAACAGAAAGGCUGCGUGACAGUCACCUCGUCCUUGUCAUGGGUCCACCUUAGAUCUACUGGAUGUGGUGGGAAGACAACGCAACGUCACUCAGGAGAGAGACCCACCCUGAGGCCACGUGAUACCUACUGAUUUUCAGUCCUCCCCUAUGCCAUCCCAGGUAUGGCAAGAGAGCGCUCGAGGCCGGUGCACCGCGCGGGCACGGGUCCGUCCUCGCGAAGGGAGGAGAGACCACCAGCAAGCCCAGGACAGAGACGGAAGCAGGAGCUCCAAGCUGCUGGCUCCUAACCUCCUUGCUCUUUGUGAACAAAGCUAAAUUGCCUCUGGAAAGGCAGGACGCCCUCUUGACAUGCCAGCUGGUGUGCUUACAUUUUCCGCUGGAGCAGCAAGACUUCCAGGCCAAGGAACACCAAAAAAAGGAGAAAUAUGUGAAACCCUGUAACUUAAGACAAGUCCAACUCAGUCAUGUCCGUGUAGACAGACCUGAGCUGGCCGAAGUCUGGCUGGCUGAAAUGAAAGCGGACAAGCCGGCCGGAGAUCCCGGGCUCUUAUGCCGCUGGCUAACCUGAACCGAAGUCCGUGCCACUGUCUUCACUGCCCACAUUAGCUGGAUUAAAGCCACAUAUGCCACAAUUGUAGCUCCCAGCUUCAGCAUUGGGGUAACCACAUAGUUAGCUGUAUAUGAUCUAUCAUCUCACACAACCAGCCUCAGAUAGAUCACCUACAGUCUAUUAUGACAGAUUUGCUACAUGCCACCCCAAAAACACCCAGAGGUCUGAUACUACAGAUGCUGGAUGUAACCACGUGCACUACGAACUCAGCCCCCAGGUCAUUUCUGGAGCAGGGAACCCAUUCCCAGUUCUUUGCCUCUCAUUAAAUCAAAUGGAAAACUUCUCACCCAACACAGACACAAGGGACAGAAGCAGAGACAAGAAAUUUCUCCACCGAGUCCAAGACCUGUUCGGUACAGAAGGGAAAGCAUCCGAGUGUCCAUUAUGGGUGCCGGGCUCUCUGGGUUAUUUUAUACCAUCCCCUGCCCCGGGAGGAGUUUCAGCAGAGCUCCAGUCCGCUCGAGGAAGGAGGGGAUGCAUCUCAAUACCAAAAUGCCAAGGCCAGAGCAGCUGCAUUGGGUUUAGGCCAACUAAAAGCUUCCCCCAGAAUUUAUGCAGCACAAAGGAGGUGGGUCACCUGUGAGAGUCUGUCACAAUGCACGCAUUAUCGAUAAGCUGAAACUAGCUCUGCCAUUUUUUUUUCAUUAUCCAUCCAUCAAUCUAUAUAUCUAACACGCACACACACAAUCAUCUGACAGGCUUAGCAUCACUCACUACAUGGAGACCUGAAAGUGGAUGCAAUGGAAAGCAGCAGUUGAAGCAGAGCGGAGCUUUCUGACUAGCAGGUGGGAGCAUGGCACCUCGUUUUCCUGGCCAAUUCCAGGCCUUUGUCCGGAUUGACAAACUCAGUCGGUCAGGAGACGUCAGUCGUGAUAACACCAAGACAGCUGCCUCCCUUUACUCAUACACGUACUCCACGAACAACUUCUUGGGGG